CGAACGGGUGAGUAAUAUAUCGGAACAUGUCCGGAAGUGGGGGAUAACGCAGCGAAAGCUGUGCUAAUACCGCAUAUGCCCUGAGGGGGAAAGGAGGGGAUCUUCGGACCUUUCGCUUUCGGAGUGGCCGAUACCGGAUUAGCUAGUAGGUGAGGUAAGAGCUCACCUAGGCGACGAUCCGUAGCUGGUCUGAGAGGACGACCAGCCACACUGGAACUGAGACACAGUCCAG
rnacentral:rRNA from 1 species